AAGUCGUAACAAGGUUUCCGUAGGUGAACCUGCGGAAGGAUCAUUACAGAGAUAAGAGCUUUGGCUCUGACCUCCAACCCUUUGUUUACCUUUACCACUGUUGCCUCGGCGUGUCGCCCGUUGGCCUUUACAAGCUUUCGUGUGCACGCCGCUCGGCCCCAAUUAUAAACUCUUUGUAAACCCAGCAUUCUGAGAGUAAAUUUAAAUACUUCAAAACUUUCAACAACGGAUCUCUUGGUUCUG
rnacentral:misc_RNA from 1 species